AGUCACAUUUCAAAUACUCAGUAGCCACGUUGUGAGCACUCAUCCACUCAGAAAAUUCCAUUAGACACUGCUGCUGUCUCUAAUCUUACUCCUUUCCUGCUUACAACUUCCUGGUCAGCACCUGGCCAGGGCUACCGUCCUUUCUCAACCAAGCUGAGACCCAGAGGUUUCUCAAGGACUGGUGAUGACACUGUCUGCCUGUCACUGAGUGUCCCCGGGGGGCUGCAUGACAGAGCAGACUGCAUGAGGGACAGACAGCAAGAGUGGCUCUUUGGGUGUCUGGGGGUGGGGCCAUGACCUCUCAAUGGAUUUGGGGUAGGAGGGGUCCAAGGAGCCAGGGUCCUACGUCCCACUGGGACCCACCCAGAGGAAGGAGAUAUUGGAGGUGUCUUGCUGGUUCAGGAUGCUUGCUGGCUGGGGCUCAGGGUGAGGCAUGGAGCCAGUCCACCGUCUCGCUGGGACAGGUGGCCCGUCCCAACAAGAACAACAAACGUGUGGUCUGUGUUCCCUCAACCGUGUCCCUGCUGCACCUGGGCCAGCCACUGGCUCCCUUUUGAAACUCCUUCCUCCCCAGGGGCCUCCAGUGUCCCAGCAGUCCCUCUAGGAACCCUCCUCCAGUUCAGCUGUAGGACAGGGUGGGAAGCUGCCUGUUCUGGGGGGCUCAACUAGUGGUCCGCCUGAGAGUGAGUGGGACAGUCCAGCACGCUGCUUAUUGUCAAAUGCCAUCAACAGGGCAACAGAGGAACUCUACUACAGCCAUUCAAUCCAAGGACACUUGCUGGGGACGGUGUGCACCCCAGGCAUGGGCGUGGUGUGCUAGAGCUCCCAGUCUGGAGGGGGAGCGAAGCUCACACAGCCCUGUGGAAGCUGUAACACCCAAUAUUCACCUGACCCAUUGUUCUGUAGGCCAGCACAUCUCCUCCAAGCACCUGGUGCUGCGCGGGGGCUGUGUUUCUGCACCUUGGCCGCGCAGAACAUAGCCUUUUCUGUGUUGAGAAUCCCUGACCUGUGCUUCACCUCUGGAGCUACUGAGGCUUUUCCUGUUUGCAUCUCAAGGCCUUGGGCAGGCACAGGUGGCACCUUUGGGAGGUGACAGCAAUGGUGGCCAGGAGCGGGGCAGGGAGCAGGGGUGGUAUUAGUGGGAGAACGGGCUGGGCUUGGGCUCACAUCCUUACUCCACUUCAUCUCUGAGUCUGUUGCCUCACCUUUAAAAUGGGCAAUCAUAGUGAUAUUGCUGGCUGCUGUGGGAUUCACACAAAGAAACAGAAAGCAGCCCAGCACCUGGAAGGAAUGUGGAGGCUGACAGCUUGGUAUCCGCAUGUCUGCCUUGGGUUUUGGUUCUGCCACUGUGCACAGCUCGGGGGAUCUCAGGGGAGUCACCGAGUCUCUCUGGGUCCAGGAAAACCCCUUGCUCCAAGGGCUUAUGAUAACACUACCUGGGGGUAAUGCACACAGGCAUGUUGCAUCGUGCCAGGAAAAGUUGAGAUGCUUAAGAAGGGGUAGAUAGCUUCUGUGCUAGAAUGAUUCCUUCCUGUGUUCUGUUGUUAUUUGCAUACCGUUCUUCAGUUUGUUUCUAAGUUAUUUUUUAUUUUUUUGAGACAGAGUCUCUCUGUUGCCCAGGCUGGAGUGCAGUAGCACGAUCUGAGCUCGCUGCAACCUCCGCCUCCUUGGCUCAAGCGAUUCUCCUGCCUCAGCCUCCUAAGUAGCUGGGAUUGCAGGUGCCUGCCACUACACCUGACUCACUUUUUCUAUUUUUAGUAGGGAUAGGGUUUCACUGUAUUGGCCAGGUUGGUCUCAAACUCCUGGCCUCAAGUGAUCUGCCCACCUCGGCCUCCCGAAGUGCUGGGAUUACAGGCCAUACCCAGCCUGUCUGUAAGUUAUUUUAAACAGUGCUUUAUGGGGGCAUAGUCUCAAUACUGUAAAAUGCACAGUUUCAAAUGAAACGUUAGUUGAAUUUUGACAACGGAAACUUACCCAGAUUGAGUGAACAUUUUUAUCAUGCCAGAAAGACCCUGCCCUUGGCAGCCGUCUCCCCUCCCGACCUCCUCUGCAGGCAGCCAUUGAUCUGGCUUUCAUCACCUUAGAUUUGUCCCGCUUGUUCUUGAACUUCAUAGAAAUGGAAUUGCACCGUCUGUAGUCUGUCUUGUCUGGCUUCCUUCAUUCCACUCAUGUUUUCAAGACUCAUCCAAGUAGCUGCAUGCAUCAGCCAUUUGUUCUUUCUUUUUCUCCUGCUUUCCUCCCCUUCUUUCUGAGUAGAAUUUCAUUGAACGGAUAUACUACAGUUUGUUGAUCAAUUCUGUUGUUGAU
rnacentral:lncRNA from 1 species